rnacentral:tRNA from 1 species
AGGAAGUGACAGAGUGGUUAUGUGUCUGGCUUGAAAUCAGGUUAUGGGGGUUCAAUUCCUCCCUUUCUC